rnacentral:rRNA from 1 species
CCCUCCAUUUCUCUCUCCAAUCUUUCUGUUUCUGUCUGAUCUCAGAAGCUAAGCAGGGUCAGUCCUGGUUAGUACUUAGAUGGGAGACCGCCUGGAACUACUGAGUGCUAUAGGAU